CCACCACCAAAGCAUUCUCUGGUGUUGAAGGCCCUGCAAAGCAGCAUCGCGGUGGCGGAGCGUCGUUUGCGACGCCCAACACACAAAACAAGCGGUGAGUGCUUUGGGGUGGGGUGACUGCGUACCUUUUGUAUAAUGGGUCAGCGACUUAUAUUCUGUAGCAAGGUUAACCGAAUAGGGGAGCCGGAGGGAAACCGAGUCUUAAUUGGGCGUUAAGUUGCAGGGUAUAGACCCGAAACCCGGUGAUCUAGCCAUGGGCAGGUUGAAGGUUGGGUAACACUAACUGGAGGACCGAACCGACUAAUGUUGAAAAAUUAGCGGAUGACCUGUGGCUGGGGGUGAAAGGCCAAUCAAACCGGGAGAUAGCUGGUUCUCCCCGAAAGCUAUUUAGGUAGCGCCUCGUGAACUCAUCUCCGGGGGUAGAGCACUGUUUCGGCUAGGGGGCCAUCCCGGCUUACCAACCCGAUGCAAACUGCGAAUACCGGAGAAUGUUAUCACGGGAGACACACGGCGGGUGCUAACGUCCGUCGUGAAGAGGGAAACAACCCAGACCGCCAGCUAAGGUCCCAAAGUCAUGGUUAAGUGGGAAACGAUGUGGGAAGGCCCAGACAGCCAGGAUGUUGGCUUAGAAGCAGCCAUCAUUUAAAGAAAGCGUAAUAGCUCACUGGUCGAGUCGGCCUGCGCGGAAGAUGUAACGGGGCUAAACCAUGCACCGAAGCUGCGGCAGCGAACGUAUCACCCAAGACAACUUUGCGGAGUUGACGAUUGACGGAGCGAAGCGACGUCAAAGCGUUCAUUAAAGUCGAGUUGGCUUAGGGAUACGUUCGUUGGGUAGGGGAGCGUUCUGUAAGCCAGUGAAGGUGUGUCGUGAGGCAUGCUGGAGGUAUCAGAAGUGCGAAUGCUGACAUAAGUAACGAUAAAGCGGGUGAAAAGCCCGCUCGCCGGAAGACCAAGGGUUCCUGUCCAACGUUAAUCGGGGCAGGGUGAGUCGACCCCUAAGGCGAGGCCGAAAGGCGUAGUCGAUGGGAAACGGGUUAAUAUUCCCGUACUUGGUGUUACUGCGAAGGGGGGACGGAGAAGGCUAUGUUGGCCGGGCGACGGUUGUCCCGGUUUAAGCGUGUAGGCUGGUUUUCCAGGCAAAUCCGGAAAAUCAAGGCUGAGGCGUGAUGACGAGGCACUACGGUGCUGAAGCAACAAAUGCCCUGCUUCCAGGAAAAGCCUCUAAGCAUCAGGUAACAUCAAAUCGUACCCCAAACCGACACAGGUGGUCAGGUAGAGAAUACCAAGGCGCUUGAGAGAACUCGGGUGAAGGAACUAGGCAAAAUGGUGCCGUAACUUCGGGAGAAGGCACGCUGACACGUAGGUGAAGUGAUUUACUCAUGGAGCUGAAGUCAGUCGAAGAUACCAGCUGGCUGCAACUGUUUAUUAAAAACACAGCACUGUGCAAACACGAAAGUGGACGUAUACGGUGUGACGCCUGCCCGGUGCCGGAAGGUUAAUUGAUGGGGUCAGCGCAAGCGAAGCUCCUGAUCGAAGCCCCGGUAAACGGCGGCCGUAACUAUAACGGUCCUAAGGUAGCGAAAUUCCUUGUCGGGUAAGUUCCGACCUGCACGAAUGGCGUAAUGAUGGCCAGGCUGUCUCCACCCGAGACUCAGUGAAAUUGAACUCGCUGUGAAGAUGCAGUGUACCCGUGGCAAGACGGAAAGACCCCGUGAACCUUUACUAUAGCUUGACACUGAACAUUGAGCCUUGAUGUGUAGGAUAGGUGGGAGGCUUUGAAGCGUGGACGCCAGUCUGC
rnacentral:rRNA from 1 species